CUCAUAACCGCAUCAGGUCUC
rnacentral:snRNA from 1 species